GAAAAGGCCAGAGAUAUCAGUCGAUGAGCAUCUCCGACACGGCAACAACUGCUGUGCCCUAUCUGUCACCAUCUGCCUUCUUCAUCGUAUUGCCACUUCGCAUCCAUGGUUAAUAAGGCGUCGUAUGCUGUUUGGUGUUGUAUCGUUGAUGGCUGGGUCGACCACUGGUGUACUGAUGUCUCCUGGGUAUGGCGGAUCGGACCAAACCGCAACGCCGCCACCUUACUACCCAAGAGCAACUAACGUAACGACCAGUUACUGCACCGAGAUCUCCAAGUACUACACCACUAAGGCAUCGGAGUUUUAUACCACAACUUACGCUGCCCCGCGCCACUUCACUGACGCCCUGAAGUACUACUCUGCCCCGAGUUACUACACCACCAAGGCGACGGAGCAUGACUACGCAUGCUGCCCCAUCCUACUACACCGAUGCUAAGUGUUACACCGAGGCUUCCGCUGAUUACUCCACCAAAACGGUCGAAUACUACACCGAAGUGGUACUACUCUGCCCCGAUCUACACAACCAUAACUGAGGCGGCCAAGUGUUACGCAGUCCAGACUUAUACUACACAGAAGCUACUCUUUCGUGCUACGUUGAACAGAAAUACUACACUGAUGCUCCAGUUCACUACACCACGACCUACGCUACACCGCAGCCCUCAAGUACUACAUCGAAGAAGCCGCCUAUUACAAAACAAAGUAUGCUCCCUAGUUUACUACACCGAGGCUCCCAAGUACUACAUCACUAAGGCACCGGAAUUCUACACGUCUAUGUAUCCUCCCCCUGCCUACUACACCGAGGCGCCGCAUUAAUACAACACCGAAGCGCUCAAGUACUACACUACAACCUACGCUGCCCCGAGCUACUACACCUACGUCCUGAAGUAUUACUGUGCGUAAAAGGAGUCGUCUAGAAGAAAACAGAAGAAGUUGUGC
rnacentral:misc_RNA from 1 species